rnacentral:rRNA from 1 species
UGAUCCGCCUGCCGCGUGUGUGAAGAAGGCCUUAUGGUUGUAAAGCACUUUAAGCGAGGAGGAGGGUACUGGUAUUAAUACUACCAGCUACUGGACGUUACUCGCAGAAUAAGCACCGGCUAACUCUGUGCCAGCAGCCGCGGUAAUACAGAGGGUGCGAGCGUUAAUCGGAUUUACUGGGCGUAAAGCGUGCGUAGGCGGCUAAUUGAGUCGGAUGUGAAAUCCCCGAGCUUAACUUGGGAAUUGCAUUCGAUACUGGUUAGCUAGAGUGUGGGAGAGGAUGGUAGAAUUCCAGGUGUAGCGGUGAAAUGCGUAGAGAUCUGGAGGAAUACCGAUGGCGAAGGCAGCCAUCUGGCCUAACACUGACGCUGAGGUACGAAAGCAUGGGGAGCAAACAGGAUUAGAUACCCUGGUAGUCCAUGCCGUAAACGAUGUCUACUAGCCGUUGGUCUCUUUGAGGGAUUAGUGGCGCAGCUAACGCGAUAAGUAGACCGCCUGGGGAGUACGGUCGCAAGACUAAAACUCAAAUGAAUUGACGGA